rnacentral:misc_RNA from 1 species
GUGAAUCAUCGAAUUUUUGAACGCAAAUUGCACUCUCCGGUUUUCCGGGGAGGUAUGCCUGUUUGAGGGUCGGUUUAAAAAAUAAUCGAUGCUGCUGCUGUGGUGGCUCUUGGGAAUGGGGUCAUCUGUAACCGCUCGGUUGUAAGCGACCUAAAAUUUUUUUUACGAUUUCGACGAACGUGGCUAAGAAUUUCGUGUACGUUCACUACAUC